CGUACUUACACACAUCCAUGCUGCUUUGAAAACAAAUGCCCUAAAGAGAAAUGAAAGCAGAAACACAUUCUGAUUUGUUUGAAGAGGCUUCGGAUGACAAAGCAUAUCACAGGUUUUGACCUUUAAGAGAGAGCCAAUUCUGGAAAACAACCAGAGUUCUUUGAUUGAAUUCUCACGUGCAUUGAAACAUGAUUAGAAGAUUAAGGUUUCAUGAUAAAAUGAAGACCAUAAUAAAAAAUCUUCUUACUUAGACUGGCAGUGCUUAUUUUGUAUAAAUUUUGACUCCAUGGCUGCGUACACCACAAUCAUGACCAACAACAAAAAAUAAAACAGUGAAGACUAACAACCAGAUAUUUAGACCAUAUGACGAAAGGACUAAGAGUGGAAGCAAAACUUGACACUGAAUAGAGCAAAGUACCUUACAGCAACUCACUUAGUAAAGGGAAGUAUGUGCCACGUGAGAUGAUCUCCUCAGCACAAAACUUUGUAUCUGACUUGCAUGCCUGGUCUGCUGAUUUAUCUAUUUUCAUGAUUGCUAAAUUAUGGAGGAAUGAACCUGAGGAGCUUGGCCUUGCCAGAAAGAUGCUAUGCUGCUGAGCUAUAUCCCUGGCCUGAAUUGUUUGUUUGUUGGUUUGUUUAAAACACCAAGUUUGAUGCCAUGUUGUUCUCCCCUGUGGAUUAUUAGGCUCCAGGGAGGUAAUGAAAUUUCCUAAACUUCUUUGGCAAAAUUUCCUUAGUAGCUGCUAAAUUUGCUGCUACAGGCAACUUCCUCUAUAUGUAGGAAGUUUAAAAUAUUCUUAGCAAAUCUGUAUUACUCUAAUAUAGUCUUUGGUGAUUUAUAUCUCUCGUGAUUGAUGUGACUAUUUCUAUUAUUUUAGAGAACCAGUAUUAAGUCUUCUAAAGCAAAAGUGAAGUUUAAUUUAUUAUAUAUAAAUCAUAUGCAAGGAAAGUCAGAAACAGAUUAUGUUUCCUGAACCAGUGGUGGCCAACCUAUGGUAAGCAUGCCACAGCCAGCUGUUUAUUAUCAUUGAAAGUUCUAAAAGGUUCACCAUUACUGUUCUAAACCAUUUAUCUCUCAAGCUGAUUUUCCUCAACUGU